rnacentral:rRNA from 1 species
ACGUAGGGUGCAAGCGUUAAUCGGAAUUACUGGGCGUAAAGCGUGCGCAGGCGGUUAUGCAAGACAGGUGUGAAAUCCCCGAGCUCAACUUGGGAACUGCACUUGUGACUGCAUAGCUAGAGUACGGUAGAGGGGAGUGGAAUUCCGCGUGUAGCAGUGAAAUGCGUAGAUAUGCGGAGGAACACCGAUGGCGAAGGCAGCUCCCUGGACCUGUACUGACGCUCAUGCACGAAAGCGUGGGGAGCAAACAGGAUUAGAUACCCUGGUAGUCCACGCCCUAAACGAUGUCAACUGGUUGUUGGGAGGGUUUCUUCUCAGUAACGUAGCUAACGCGUGAAGUUGACCGCCUGGGGAGUACGGCCGCAAGGUUG